AGGUAAGCUCCCUGAGAGCAGGGACCCCACAUUUCCUGUUGACACACACUCCCAGCCCCUGGCAAGGGGCUCUGGAAAGAUCUCUGGAUGAAUUGGAACAAACAUGCACAAAGUAAAAGAAAGCAAAGCUGAUUUGGAGAUACACAGAUAAUUUUCACAGAAUCACUUCCAAAGAUGAUGGUGUCUUAAUAUCGGAAAUGUUACUGAGACAUGUAGCUGAAGAUUCACCAGAACUAUGUCUGAGGAGCUCAGCACCUAACCCUGAAGUGUUGUUAUUAUUUCUCAUCCUCUUUUUUGCUGGAUUUUUUUUUUUUUUCUGUUAGAGCUAUGUGGCUCAGGCACAUGGGAUUGGUUAAGUGGCAAGUAUCUUUUUCUGAAUUGUUUUAAAUUUAUAGUAAUAAAAACUGUGUGUGUGUGUGUGUGUGUAUGUGAGAGAGAGAGAGAGAGAGAGAGAGAGAGAGAGAGAGAGAGAGAGAGGCAGACCA